rfam:Picea glauca, whole genome shotgun sequence.
GUUGCUUUGGCCGAGUGGUUAAGGCGUGUGCCUGCUAAGUACAUGUGGUUUCCCCACGAGAGUUCAAAUCUCUCAGGCGACA